rnacentral:rRNA from 1 species
AGUGAAUAGAUACCAGGUAGUCCACGCCCUAAACGAUGCCAACUAGUUGUUGGGGAAGGAGACUUCCUUAGUAAACGAAAGCUAAACGCGUGAAGUUGGCCGCCUGGGGAGUACGGUCGCAAGAUUAAAUCUCAAAGGAAUUGACGGGGACCCGCACAAGCGGUGGAUGAUGUGGAUUAAAUUCGAUGCAACGCGAAAAACCUUACCUACCCUUGACAUGCCAGGAACUCUGCUGAGAGGUGGAGGUGCCCGAAAGGGAGCCUGGACACAGGUGCUGCAUGGCUGUCGUCAGCUCGUGUCGUGAGAUGUUGGGUUUAAGUCCCGCAACGAGCGCAACCCUUGCCAUU